CAGCCGCCACGGUAAUACGGAGGGGGCUAGCGUUGUUCGGAAUUACUGGGCGUAAAGCGCACGUAGGCGGCUUGGUAAGUUAGAGGUGAAAGCCUGGAGCUCAACUCCAGAAUUGCCUUUAAGACUGCCGAGCUAGCAGGUGAGAGAGGUAAGUGGAAUUCCGAGUGUAGAGGUGAAAUUCGUAGAUAUUCGGAAGAACACCAGUGGCGAAGGCGGCUUACUGGCUCAUACUGGACGCUGAGGUGCGAAAGCGCGGGGAGCAAACAGGAUUAGAUACCCCCGUAGUCCCUGUCUCUUAUAC
rnacentral:rRNA from 1 species